GGGGGGGUGGGGGUUGUUCCUCAGCCCGGAUUGUGAGAGGGCUCAGGCCAGGCCGAGGGACCCCACCGGUGCAUG
rfam:Myotis davidii contig98948, whole genome shotgun sequence.